CUCGGAGCGGGCGCCGUCCCCAGGCUGGGCCCUGGCCAGCCGCGCUCUGUCGGGCCCUGGCCAGAACUGAGGGGCGCCGGACGGAGCCGGGCCCUGAGACACUCAAGGAAGAGCCCAUGGACCCCAGGCCUUCUGUAGUCUCAGCACAGGCCGGGCUUGGAGCUGCUGUUCUGUGCAGAUGCUGCCCAAUAGCUUCGAGGCCGGACAGAAGUGGUCCGAGUCCUCUGUGCUGUCACCGACACGUCUGCCUGGCCUCCUCAGCGCUGAUGUCAGAGUGGGAAGUGGCUGGGCUGCCCCAGGCACAGUCUCCUCGGCAGCCAUGGCCACAGGGCCUAUCCCCGGAGUCCCCCUCUCGUCAAGGAUCUGGGAGAGGUGAAAGAAGCCGGGGUGGUAUGAGCUGGUACCCUGUUGACCACAUCAGGGUUAGGAGACCUGGAGGCUGCCUCCCUGCCCUGCCGCCAUGUCCAUGGGAGGCACACAGGACACAUACUCCCCGGAACGACCUGAGUGGGAGCUGCGCAUUUGGAAGUAAGUUCACUUUCUUAUGUCUUGAAAUGUGCUUCUUAUUUUAAAUUAGGAAAUAUGGCCAAAUGAUUACAAACGAUUACAUUUAUAAUUUUUAAAGUCACCGAAGUCUCAUCACAUGAUCUUGGGGGGGCAGUGUUGCCGUGCUCAGCGUCACUCGAAUGAGCCCAGCCUGCACUGCAGAGCCAGUGCCUGGUUAUUUUGCACACCUGUGACUAUCUCGGGCAGCUGCCCACUGGCUCUGCUGAGGCAGGUGCCUGGGGCAGCCCAGUGCUCAGGCAUCAGGGGUCCCCUCGCCUCAGCCAAUCCUCUCUCAUCUUUCUCCUCCAGUUAUCCCCUUGGGGUCCUGGCCUGGAACUCACCUUCCCUCCUCCUUUUUCCUUCCUUCCUGCAGUCUGCAGACCCAGCCUCACCUUUGCUCCAGUGGAGAACGGAAGCAUGGGGCCUGGGAGGGAGUGUGCAGUGCCAGGGCAUCACUUGCACUGUCCUGAGAGGGAGGGUGCCCCUCUGUCACCUCCCCUCUGCUCUUCUCUCUCUCAGGCUGUGGCCCUGGGUGCAGGGCAGUGACUGAAUUACUCUCAUGACCCACUGGUAGGUACUGAAAUCAAUUAGUCAACCGAUUUGGAUGCACGUAGAGACCCAGAGCAAAUGGCAGGUGGCCAGGGCACACAUGGUGAUGAGGGCACAAGUGUUUUGUGAAACGUGGGCUCCAGAGUGACGUGGCUACAUAUGGCUAGCGCGAAACGUGCUUCUCCCCGUGGGUUCUACACGGGGCUGUCAGGACACAGGUCACAGCAAACUGCGGAACACAUUCUGGACAUUCUGUGAAUGCUCCUCUAUUAGAUUUGUGUUUCUGAAAAUUCUUUGUUAAAAAGUACAAAAAGCCAUGAGAGAUGCUUUUCCUCAUGACUCUCCCCAGGCAGGGGCCUUGCGGUGGCCAGGCCAGGGUGCGUGCUGCCUUCCUGGGCCUUCUCAGUCAUCCUGGAUGCGGAGCUGGGGCUCACCAGCCUCGCUCCCACACAGCUUCCCCAGGGUCAGCCGACACCCAGACGGCAGCUGUUCACAGGGUUCCUGAAGCUCCCGAAUGCUUUUCACCCAGCAUCAGCCAUUUGAGGAUGAGCUGCCCUCUCAAGCAGGCACUCCUGCUGUCCCUUCACCCGUGCCCGAGCGUCUUGGCGUCUCCCUCUCUAUCCUCCAUGUAGGCAGCUGGUGCCCCAGAGCACUCACCUUCCUUGUCUUGGGAACUUCCAUUAGUCCAGCCAAGUCCCCCUCAUUUUGGGGGAACUGUUGCAAGUGGACAGCUGCGUCCCCGUUGCCUAGGCACGUGGGCACCUGGGCACCCAGGCACAUGGGUACUUCACCUCCUGGACACCCAGACACAAGGGCAUUUGGGCAUGUGGGCACCUGGGUAUGUGGGCAGCUGGGAACCUGGGCACACAGGCACCUGUGCACCUGGGCACAUGGGAACCUGGGCACGUGGACAUCUAUGUACUUGGGCACACAGGCACCCAGGCACCUGGGCAUGUGGGCACCUGUGAAGCUGUGCAUUGGGCAGCUGGGAACCUGGGCACCUGGGCACUUGGGCAUGUGGGCAUCUGGGCAAGUGGGCACCCUGGUACAUGUGCAUCUGGGCAGGUAGCAACCAGGCACCUGAGCCAAUGUCUGCCCUCCUCACCAUGUGGCCCUGUGCCCCUGCCUCAAAUCUGUCUCCCAUCUGCACAGUGGGAAUACUCAGAGUGCCCACAUGGGGUUGCCAUGACCAGGGGGUCCCACGGUUCCUGGCACUCCACAGCACUUGCCGUGAUGCUCAGGUGCUGGAGGUCUGUGCCCACAUGAGGUUGCUGUGACCGGUGUGGGGGGGUCCCACGGUUCCUGGCACUCCACAGCACUUGCCGUGAUGCUCAGGUCUUUGCAGUCAACCAUCUUACUGCUGUUACUGCAUCUUCCACCUCCUCCUCUUGUCCCCACAGCCAGCUCUAUGGCCUUCCCUCUUGGACUCCUCCCCCAGCCUUCCGCUGAGCCCAGCAUUCUCCUGGGUUGUCCUGGGAGCUGCCCUGCUCUCCAGAGACUUCUCUAUCUCCUGGCCCUCAAGGCUCCCAUAAGAAUCCCCUGUGGCCACGUCCCUUUUUUAAAGGUGCUGUGAUGCUUGCCCAGGAUCACUGGGCAAUCAUGCGGGGCCCAGAGUCCUUUCUCUGGGCCAUGGCCCCCGCUGGACAUAAUACCCACUGGGUAUUAUGGUGGGUGCCUGUAGUCCCAGCUACUUGGGAGGCUGAGGCAAGAGAAUUGCUUAAGCCUGGGAGUUGGAGGUUGCUGUGAGAUAUGAGGCCAUGGCACUCUGCUGAAGUCAACAGCUUGAGACUCUGUCUCAAAAAAAAAGAUAGUAAAUAUCUCAGGCUCUGCAGGCCACAUGGUCUCAGUCGAGAGAGUGCCCUUUGGUCCUCAUGCAGAGGCUGCCGAGAUAACACUUAAAUGAAUGAGCAGGGUGUGUUCCAAUAAAACUUCAUUGAUGGACACUGAAAUUUGAGUUUCACAUAAUUUUCAUGUGUCAGGACAUAUUUUUAUUCUUUAGAGCUUGUUUGCUUUCAAACAUUCAAAAAUGUAAGAAGACAAGCUGAGGUCAUAAGUUGUGUGAAAAUGGGUCUUGGACCAAGUUUGUCCCAGAGGCCAGAACUGACCCAAACCUAUCUCAGAGCACAGAGGCAGCAGAGUUCUGGGAAGGGCAGGACUCAUGACAUGUUUUGUGAUUUGUCCAAAAGAAGUCAUAUGGAAGUCACUGCUCUGGGGCUCUCAGGCCCCUUAAGGGAGUCACUCGUGCAGAAGGGUGAACCAAACAGCUUUUCUUCAUCCUUGGAGAACCCCUAGGACAAGCUCGUUCCUCUGACACCUCCUUGGGUCCUGGGAAGGUGCUUUGCUGCUUUCUUGACAGAUCCUGCACUGACCAGCAUUCUUUGUGAGGCUGCCCCUUAGUUCCCACAUGGGUGUAAGGCUGGUAGCACAGGGAUGAAACCAGGAGGGGACACCGCCAUCACACCUAUCAGACAGGUGAGCCCAGGCCUUGCUGCCCAAGUGAAAAUUCCCACAGCCUGAUCCAACCCGCCCACUGACAGACCUGUGCCCGUGCCCUCCGUGAGAACUUGCCUUUCACAUUUCCAGCCCACCCUCGUGCAAGAAAACAAGACAUGCAGGUGUCAGUGUGGGAUAGAGGUUCUGCCACAGAACAGACAUUGCAAGACAUCUCUGUAAUUUCUUUAAUUAUUCAAACAAUAAAGCACAAAGAUAACAGUUUCAAGUACAUUCUGACACAUGUUUUUUGACAGGAGUAGAUAUGCAUUUAGUCAUGGGGGGCUGGCAGGGACCACCAUGCAUACAUUUUGCACAAGCUCUUGGCACCAUUGACCCGAGGAUGAGGAGUGGCACCCCACCUGGGGGCAGGGGAGGUACAACAUUGUCACACCCUGUAUUUAGUUUCUCUACUCAGUGGUUUCCUUUCCUCACUUGUGAAAAAGAAUUCAUACUAGAAAGCUGUGGAAAGACACUAAAAAGAGAAGCCAGGAUGGCAGGUGGCAGCACCCAGCAGCCUAGGUGUUCCGUCUUGGUGAAGCUCUGCUCAGCAUGCCCUCGUCACUAGCAAACUGCACUGCAGCCAUGGGCACCUGUGGGCUUGGCCAACACCUGACCCUUCUCUUUGACCAUAUGGGCUGCACAACGCAGCCAGAAGAGCCGGUGUGUCCUUUGACCGACUUAGAAUUAGACAUGAACAGUCAAAAGAACAGAAGCCAUUGUGAACACCAGCCUUGAACCUGCUAGCUACCUAGAAGAACACGGAAAAGUCUUUUACAAGAGACAAUGAGGGCUGCACCUGCCUGCAGAGCCUGGGCCCUGGGAGUACACAGAGGCCAAGCCACUGGCCCCAGCACCACCUGUCUGGGCACACGCCCUCAGGAGGUGGUCACUGGCAGCCAGACCCACCAGAGGCCCAGCCUCAGCAGCCAGAACCCAGCAGGUGGGACUGAGGUCUGUUCCGUCCUGCUCCCUAAGCCUGAACCACCUCCACACAGGCCUAACCUAGGAGGCCCCAAGCCCAUACAUCUUGGCCCUUCAAAGCCCAGACUGUUUAGAUACUACGGCCCAAAGCACACAGCAGGACAGUCACCUUCAAUAAGCCAAAGUUCUGGGAGUGAUCCACUGCCUGGCCCCUGGUGACAGCCGAGGGCUGAAACCCUCUUGUCCAAACCUACAGGGCAGCAUGAAGCAUGUGAAGCAUGGAGGAACCUUCUCCCAACUCAGCUGACAUCAGGCACCAACCGCCGGUACACACUCAAGUAGGACUGUGUCCUGCAGAUAUGAGUCCACACCUAACAACCACACCAGACAGACACUUGGAUUUGGAGUUACUAGUAUGGCCCAAGGUCCCUGGAAGUCCUGACAUUCUAGUGACUGGUCCACGAGGAGCAGGCAGAGAAUGCACAUUCCACAGUGGGCUUGUCCCUUGGAUUGGGAGAACUCUCAAGAAAAGAGGGCAGGAGGUUCAGAGAUCACUUGGCCCUCUGCUCUGGAAAGGGCACAACACGACCUCAGAAAGCAGCAACGGGCCUCCUCCCUACAGACCAGAGGCAUCAAGACCAGGGAAGGCCUGAGGUCUGCCCAGCAGUCACUGGGAGCCCUGAGGAAGUGCUCAGGGCCUGCCCCCAGGGCCACUUCCUCUGGGCCUACAAAUUAGGCUUUGCUAGUUAAGGAGUGGCAAUGGGGGACAGAAGAGUCCCCACAUACGGCACCCCCAAACUUUGGGAGUGUAGGAAGAACUUCACACAAUAAAUACUAACGUAGCUGAGGUUUCUCCAGUGACGAGAAUAAAAAAGUUGAUU